CUGCAAGGUGCUGCAUGGUUGUCGUCAGCUCGUGCCGUGAGGUGUCGGGUUAAGUCCCAUAACGAGCGCAACCCUUAUCGUUAGUUGCCAUCUGGUAAUGCAGGGGACUCUAGCGAAACUGCACCGUAAGGUGAGAGGAAGGUGGGGAUGACGUCAAAUCAGCACGGCCCUUAUGUCCAGGGCUACACACGUGUUACAAUGGCCAGUACAAAGGGCAGCUACCGGGUGACCGGAUGCUAAUCUCUAAAGCUGGUCUCAGUUCGGAUCGAAGUCUGCAACCCGACUUCGUGAAGCUGGAUUCGCUAGUAAUCGCGCAUCAGCCAUGGCGCGGUGAAUACGUUCCCGGGCCUU
rnacentral:rRNA from 1 species